UGUGUAGUUAUGUUUAAUAGUGUUUUGUUUUUUGUUUUUUUUACAGCUACUGGGACUCGUCGAACCUCAAGCAGAACUCCUUAAGCCACUGGGACUCGGAACCAGAGCAGAACUCCACAAGCUACUGGGACUCGAGACUCAAGCAGAACUCCUCAAGCUACUGGGACUCGAGACUCAAGCAGAACUCCUCAAGCCACUGGGACUCAUAACCAGAGGAGAACUCCACAAGACACUGGGACUAGACAAACCUCAAGCAGAAUGACACAUGG